CAACGAUUCGUGUACCAGCGGCGUGCCAGCGGAAAUUUUUCGUGAACACCGGCUGCGGCGGUGUUUUCGUGUGUGAGACAGGUCCUUUCGUUGGCCCGUUUUGGAGGCUGACGAACGCUGGAACGAACAUAAAAGACGCCACGCCGAUUCAGACCGAAAACGGCGUUCCGGGGACUGGCGCUACCUAAAUAAAGAAAAGCAGGACGACCGUGCUGAUGCCAUGCCGUUCGGCGGUCCAAGCUACGGCAUCUACUGCUGUGUUUCGUGGUGCUUUAACAACGACAGAACCCAGAAAAAGCCUAUCUUGCCUUGGAAUAAAAACGUUGC